GUUCCGUAGGUGAACCUGCGGAAGGAUCAUUAC
rnacentral:rRNA from 1 species